UGGGGAAUAUUGCACAAUGGGGGGAACCCUGAUGCAGCGACGCCGCGUGAAGGAAGAAGGUAUUCGUAUUGUAAACUUCUGUCGCAGAUGACGAAUUGAUGACGGUAAUCUGUAAGAAAGCACCGGCUAACUACGUGCCAGCAGCCGCGGUAAAACGUAGGGUGCUAGCGUUGUCCGGAAUUACUGGGUGUAAAGGGAGCGCAGGUGGCAGUGCAAGUUGGAUGUAAAAUCUACGGGCUCAACCCGUAUAAGCAUUCAAAACUGUGCAGCUUGAGUGAAGUAGAGGUAGGUGGAAUUUCCGGUGUAGCGGUGGAAUGCGUAGAUAUCGGAAGGAACAUCAGUGGCGAAGGCGACCUACUGGGCUUUAACUGACGCUGAGGCUCGAAAGCAUGGGUAGCAAACAGGAUUAGAUACCCUGGUAGUCCAUGCUGUAAACGAUGAUUACUAGGUGUGGGGGCGAAAGCUUCCGUGCCGGAGUUAACACAAUAAGUAAUCCACCUGGGGAGUACGACCGCAAGGUUGAAACUCAAAGGAAUUGACGGGGGCCCGCACAAGCAGUGGAGUAUGUGGUUUAAUUCGAAGCAACGCGAAGAACCUUACCUGCUCUUGACAUCCCAUUCGAUAGAGGGUAAUGCCUCUAGCCCUUCGGGGGAAUGGAGACAGGUGGUGCAUGGUUGUCGUCAGCUCGUGUCGUGAGAUGUUGGGUUAAGUCCCGCAACGAGCGCAACCCUUAUUGUCAGUAGCCAGCAGUUAGGCUGGGCACUCUGAUGAGACUGCCGGGGAUAACCCGGAGGAAGGUGGGGAUGACGUCAAAUCAUCAUGCCCCUUAUGAGCAGGGCUACACACGUGCUACAAUGGCGUAAACAGAGGGAAGCGAGCCUGCGAAGGUAAGCAAAUCCCAAAAAUAACGUCCCAGUUCGGACUGCAGUCUGCAACUCGACUGCACGAAGCUGGAAUCGCUAGUAAUCGCGGAUCAGAAUGCCGCGGUGAAUACGUUCCC
rnacentral:rRNA from 1 species